rnacentral:rRNA from 1 species
GACGAACGCUGGCGGCGUGCUUAACACAUGCAAGUCGAACGGAAAGGCCCUGCUUUUGUGGGGUGCUUGAGUGGCGAACGGGUGAGUAACACGUGAGUAACCUGCCCUUGACUUUGGGAUAACUUCAGGAAACUGGGGCUAAUACCGGAUAGGAGCUCCUGCUGCAUGGUGGGGGUUGGAAAGUUUCGGCGGUUGGGGAUGGACUCGCGGCUUAUCAGCUUGUUGGUGGGGUAGUGGCUUACCAAGGCUUUGACGGGUAGCCGGCCUGAGAGGGUGACCGGCCACAUUGGGACUGAGAUGCGGCCCAGACUCCUACGGGAGGCAGCAGUGGGGAAUAUUGCACAAUGGGCGGAAGCCUGAUGCAGCAACGCCGCGUGCGGGAUGACGGCCUUCGGGUUGUAAACCGCUUUCGCCUGUGACGAAGCGUGAGUGACGGUAAUGGGUAAAGAAGCACCGGCUAACUACGUG